CCUACGGGAGGCAGCAGUAGGGAAUAUUGCUCAAUGGGGGAAACCCUGAAGCAGCAACGCCGCGUGGAGGAUGAAGGUUUUCGGAUGGGAAACUCCUUUUGGUAGAGAAGAAAAGGACGGUAGCUAACGAAUAAGCACCGGCUAACGCCGGGCCAGCAGCCGCGGUAAUACGGAGGGUGCAAGCGUUACACGGAAUAACUGGGCGUAAAGAGCGCGUAGGCGGGCUAGCAAGUCAGAUGUGAAAUCCUAUGGCUUCACCAUAGAACGGCAUUUGAAACUGUUAUUCUAGAGUAUGGGAGAGGUAGGUGGAAUUCUUGGUGUCGCGGUCAAAUCCUU
rnacentral:rRNA from 1 species